rnacentral:rRNA from 1 species
GUCCACGCCGUAAACGAUGAAUGCUAGUUGUUGGAAAGUCUAACUUUUCAGUGACGCCGUUAACACAUUAAGCAUUCCGCCUGGGGAGUACAUUCGCAAGGAUGAAACUCAAAGAAAUUGACGGGGGCCCCGCACAAGCGGUGGAGUAUGUGGUUUAAUUCGACGCAACGCGAAGAACCUUACCAGGCCUUGACAUGGCUAGUAUGGGGCUAAGAGAUUAGCUCCUUCAGUUCGGCUGGCUAGCACACAGGUGCUGCAUGGCUGUCGU